rnacentral:sRNA from 1 species
ACAUCACUUAAACUGAUAUUGUCAUGAACUCAAGGGUUGAAUGAAUCCCAAAAUGAUUGCCAAUCUAAUUCUACCAUAAAUCACAAUGACCUUUUCAGAAUGUAUGGAAGCCGUUUGAUUUCUGUCCUUACAUAUUUCAAAAAUAUCAUAUCAAUAAUGAAUAUAUUGAUGAUUACAUUAUUUAUUUAUUACAUUUUUAAUAUUAUCACUAAAUACACAGGAUUUGUUUUGAUACUCGUGUGAAUCUCUGGUUUCAAAGUUUGGUUUGUGUUGAAAGAAUUGCUGUCUUCUAUUGUUAGUUGGCUUUCCCUUAAAUGUCUUUGCAUAAAAGUUUGCUGUUCUCUGACAUGUUGAGUCGUUGUAAUACCAAUAUUCAUCAGUGUUCAAUCCAACUUCAAGAAUUGACAGCUCAUGUCCUAUGGCUUUCCUCAGAUCACCAAGUGUCCAGUCAUCUCCUCCAUGGGUUCUAGCCAAGUUCUGUCUGAUUUUUGAUGGUAGUUUUUUCAAGACUACAGGUACCAAUAAGUUUCCAUAACACUCUUCAGUCUUGUUCAGAGUUUCUAAUCCACGGAUGUAUGUUUCCAUGUAAUGAUCGUUUAGAGCACCCAACCAAAAAAUCACAUGCCCUUCCAACAUUAUUGCAUUUUCAUGCAAUACGGUAUGGUUGCGCAUCGCUUUUAUGAAAGUGGAAGUUUUCAAGCUGUAUAUAUGCAGAUCUUCAUGGUAUAAGUAAAGCAAGUGUGUCCAGAAUUGUUUACGCUGUUACAUCUACUCUAGUUGCCUUAAGUCCUGUCUACAUUAAAUUUCCAUUUACUGACAGAGAAAUAAACAAUACUAUACUGGACUUCGCUCAUAUAUGUAAUUUCCCAAAUGUGAUAGGGGCAAUAAACUGGACACAUAUUCCCAUUCAGGCACCUUCAACUCGUGAGUAUUUGUUUGUUAACAGAAAAAAACUUUCAUUCAAUAAAUGUGAUGGCAGUUUGCAAUUCCAAUUUGAAAUUUUUGAAUUUGGUAGCAAAGUGGCCUUAAUCAUCUCAUGACGCAUGCGCAUAUGUGUUCUCAAAUUCUGUUUUGUGUCAAAUGUUUAAGAAUGGCAACAUUAACAGAGGUUGUCUAGUUGGUGACAGUGCGUACCACUAACACCCCUCUUGAACCCAAGCAACCCCCAUGAGGAGGCAUACAAUGAUGCCCACGCUAAAACCAGUUCUUCAAUUGAGCUAGCGUUUGGUGUCCUUAAAAUGAGGUUCCCAUGCAUCGAUCGCUCCGGAGGUACCCUACUAUUCCGGCCCGAGAGACCUUGUGGAAUCGUGACUGCUUGUGUGGUGCUACAUAACAUUUGCAUCAAAAACAACGUCCAUCUGCCCCGAAACAUAAACAAUUAUAUAGUUUUUCAACAACCAGACAAUGUUAUAUUCCAAAGAGUAAACAAUGACGGAUUAAUUCAAACUCGAUUCUGAGAACUAAGAAAUUGCCAUCUUUCCUUCGAAUAUUGUGUUCAUUCAAAUUGUAUUAAAAUUUUUAAAUUGUUUCUGUUGUUUUAGAUACUGGUAAUGAUAUAGUAAUAGUAAUUUAAAGAUAUUUCAUUAUUUUAAUGCGAGACAUGCAUUUGUAUACAGGUAUUUCAUUCAAAUUGUAUUAAAAUUUUUAAAUU